AAUUUACUUGAUCUUGACACAAUCCUACUUGGAUAACUGUGGUAAUUCUAGAGCUAAUACAUGCAUUAAAGCUCUGACCUCACGGGAAGAGUGCAUUUAUUAGAACAAAACCAAGCGGCUUCGGCUGUUUCUGGUUGACUCAUAGUAACUGAGCUGAUCGCAUGGUCUUGCACCGGCGACGUGUCUUUCAAGUAUCUGCCGUAUCAACUUUCGAUGGUAGUGUAUCUGACUACCAUGGUGAUCACGCGUAACGGAGAAUAAGGGUUCGGCUCCGGAGAGUUCGCCUGAGAAAUCGCGAACACAUCUAAGGAAGGCAGCAGGCGCGAAAAUUACCCACUCUCAGCACGAGGAGGUAGUGACGAAAAAUAACGAGACCGUUCUCUUAUGAGGCCGGUCAUCGGAAUGGGUACAAUUUAAACCCUUUAACGAGUAUCUAUGAGAGGGCAAGUCUGGUGCCAGCAGCCGCGGUAAUUCCAGCUCUCAAAGUGCAUAGAAUUAUUGCUGCGGUUAAAAAGCUCGUAGUUGGAUCUGUGCCAUAGGACGUGGUCCACCUUCGGGUGCGUACUACGCUCCUAGGCUUUUUGCUGGUUUUCCCGUCGUAGCCUUCACUGGUUGCGGCGGGUGGCUGGCGAGUUUACUUUGAGAAAAUCAGAGUGCUCAAUACAGGCGUAUCGCUUGAAUGAUUGUGCAUGGAAUAAUAGAAAAGGAUUUCGGUCCUCUUUUAUUGGUUUUGUGGACUGAGAUAAUGGUUAACAGGGACAAACGGGGGCAUUCGUAUCUCUGCGUGAGAGGUGAAAUUCUUGGACCGUAGAGAGACGCCCUACUGCGAAAGCAUUUGCCAAGA
rnacentral:rRNA from 1 species